GCGAUAAAGAGUCCUCUUGCCAAUGUUAUUUGUAAGGGCACAUUCAGACUACUGUCGACUGAUUAUUAUUAUUUACUACACAGCAGAGAUGAUCCCAGUCGGCGGCAGUGCAUCACACCUGAAAGACGAUUGAUCGCAGGCUGAUUUCUCGUCCACAUUUGAGCGGCAAGGAUCAAGGAGGGGAUUGCAACAAUUAUUUUGCGGUGCUGCCUGCGAAGGGACAGCGGAGUCCAAACCACGCUGAGGCGGCCGGUCGUAUCGUGGAUGCAGCGAACGUUUGCAUGCAGACGGUUACUCGGCCCACCGUCAUUCAGACUUGACCGACGACCGUCCCACACACAUCGCCGAGUGGCUGUGCUCCGUAACGCCAUUACUGCAUCAGUGCCGUCACUCCGGGUCGGCUCCAGUAGCCACUGACCAUCGACAGGGCACACCGGCGGCGGCGAUCACUCGAUCGACGACUCCAGUCCAGUCCACACGUGACCCGAGUUGACUGUUGCGCUCGCAGCCACAGCUACUAGUCGACGAUGGCAAGCUUAAACCCGCGUGUGGUGGCUGGUGGUACAGUGCCUGCUGGAGCAACGAAUGCCCAGCAGUGUGUCAGACCAGCUCAUAAUCACUGGAACAAAAUCAGAUGUCCGCACACUGGUGGAGAUGAGGAAUACUGCGAGGACCAGUUUUGCGUAGCAAGGAACAUCAAUGGGCGUAUCUCAUUCGGCUGCAGGGGCUUUGUUUCUUUUUUCGGAGAGAGUAAACACUGUGGUUAUGCCUUUCGUCACCUCAGGGACAACCACCCAGUCAUCUUCUGUUGUUGUACAAGAGGCUGUGCAGAUCAUCACUUUGCUUUGCUCUCUGGCAAGCCUUUUCCUUCGGGCCUCUUGCCGUUCCAGGAUCCGUCCGAUCGGUACUUUUUUAACCCGGAAAUUACGUGGCCCGUUCCUCCCAAUCCAACAACAACAACACCGCUGCCAACAACAACACCACUCCCAACAACAACAUCACUGCCAACAACAACACCACUCCCAACAACACCACCACUGCCAACAACAACACCACUGCCAACAACAACACCACUCCCAACAACACCACUCCCAACAACAACACCACUCCCAACAACAACACCACUGCCAACAACAACACCACU